rnacentral:rRNA from 1 species
UAUGGAGAAGGAUGGGAUAUGGGAACAGGUCUUGCCCCUUAUGAUAAGGCCAAGAAGGACAAUGCCUACCAGAUGCCAAAUAUUGGUUUCUUUAAUGACAAUCAGCGCGAUGCUGUCAAAGGGGGAGAAGUUUAUGGUGCUAUCAAGUCAGGUUUUGUCAGUGGUGCUGCGACAGAGCCAAUUCUAGCUAAAGCAAUCCUAGGAAGUCGUGAAUUAGGAAGCUAUACACACCCAAAUCAGGUGCUUAACUAUGUAGAAGCCCAUGACAAUUACAAUCUUCACGAUUUAUUGGCAACCCUUCAUCCAGACCAAAGUUCAGAGCAAAUCAUGCGCAAGGUCGAAACUGCCACAGCCAUGAAUCUGCUCAUGCAGGGGAUGGCCUUUAUGGAAAUCGGUCAAGAAUUUGGUCGUACCAAACUGGUUGCGACUGGUGAAAAUGGUGAGUUGACCCAUGAUGAUAGAGAGCGUGCGAUGAAUAGCUAUAAUGCUCCUGACAGUGUGAACCAAGUGAACUGGAACUUGAUUAAUGAGCGUCAAGACAGUAUUGAGUUUAUCCGUCAAGUCAUCCGAUUGAAGACAAAAACUGGUGCCUUUUCUUACUCUAGCUAUGAUGAAAUUUACCAUCAUGUCUUUGUGCAUUCUGCGAUUGAACAUAGCGGCUGCCUUAUCUAUGAAGUUCACAGCAAAGAACACCUCUUGGUGGUUGUGAAUGCUAAAUCAGAACCCUAUCAAUUUGAAAAUGCAGGAAAUUUAGCUAUGUUGGUAACCAACAGUCGCUCAAAAGAAGAUAAUGUUUUAAAUGAUAUUAGUCUAGCUGUCUUGAGUGUUUUAUAAAUACCAUCUAUCUCGCUAUUUUUACACAGACAAAUUCCCAGUUAUGAGUAUUAGUAAAAAAUCCAUUCAUUGAAAUUGAAAGAAUAGAAAGAACCUGGCUAACAGCUCACUUGUAUAGAAAAUUUGAUAAAUAUUUUCACGAAACAAGACCUCCUAUCAAAGUUUUUGAACAUUUGAUAGGAGGUCUUUUUAUUAUGAAGACUUUUACCUAGACUUUGUUUCAGCAAUCUAUGACAGUUAUAGUAGGCUGAAAUUGGAAUAGCACACCCUUGUUUCUGAAACAUUGUGAGAAAUUGGUUUGGCUGUCCCCAAUCAAAUUGUUCAGUUUUUUUAUUUUACUAUAGAUGAUACUCAUUCACGCUCUUCGAAAAUUUCUUCAAACCACAUUAGCCUCUCCUUGACGUAGUGGAUUUUUUUAUUUUUAUUGAGUAUACUUUGAAAAAUCAAGCUUGUGAAAAUAAUCUCAAAAAUUUUGCAAAAAGGGUUGUUAUUUUCUGAAAAUUUGGUAAAAUAUAUCUUAAUCAUUUUCAGGAGGACAAGAAUUUGACAAGAUAUCAGAAUUUAGUAAAUGGAAAAUGGAAAUCAUCUGAACAAGAAAUUACGAUUUAUUCACCAAUCAAUCAAGAAGAAUUGGGUACAGUUCCAGCCAUGACUCAGACUGAAGCUGAUGAGGCUAUGCAAGCUGCGCGUGCAGCCCUGCCAGCAUGGCGAGCUUUAUCAGCAGUUGAACGUGCGGCUUAUUUACAUAAAACAGCAGCUAUUUUAGAACGCGAUAAGGAAGAAAUUGGUACUAUCCUUGCCAAAGAAGUAGCAAAAGGGAUUAAAGCAGCAAUUGGAGAAGUAGUGCGUACAGCAGACUUGAUUCGUUAUGCUGCUGAGGAAGGUCUCCGUAUCACUGGACAAGCAAUGGAAGGUGGUGGUUUUGAGGCAGCAAGUAAAAACAAACUGGCUGUUGUCCGUCGUGAACCAGUUGGUAUCGUGCUAGCGAUUGCUCCCUUUAAUUAUCCAGUUAAUUUAUCUGCUUCUAAAAUUGCACCUGCCUUGAUUGCAGGGAAUGUGGUCAUGUUUAAGCCACCAACACAAGGUUCCAUUUCUGGACUCUUGUUGGCUAAAGCAUUUGAAGAAGCAGGGAUUCCGGCAGGUGUUUUCAACACCAUUACAGGUCGUGGUUCAGAAAUUGGGGAUUAUAUCAUUGAGCACAAAGAAGUCAACUUCAUCAACUUUACAGGUUCAACUCCUAUUGGAGAACGUAUUGGUCGUUUAGCUGGUAUGCGUCCUAUCAUGUUGGAACUUGGUGGGAAAGAUGCAGCUCUUGUACUAGAAGAUGCAGAUUUGGAACAUGCUGCCAAGCAAAUUGUUGCGGGAGCCUUUAGCUACUCAGGACAACGUUGCACGGCCAUUAAACGUGUCAUUGUUCUCGAAAGUGUAGCAGAUAAAUUAGCUACUUUGCUUCAGGAAGAAGUUUCUAAAUUAACAGUUGGUGAUCCAUUUGACAAUGCUGAUAUUACACCUGUUAUUGACAAUGCUUCAGCCGACUUCAUUUGGAGCUUGAUUGAGGAUGCACAAGAAAAAGAAGCUCAGGCUCUUACACCAAUCAAACGUGAGGGCAAUCUUCUCUGGCCAGUGCUUUUUGACCAAGUUACAAAAGAUAUGAAAGUGGCAUGGG